UAACCAAGAUAUUUCUUUGAAUGUUACGUUGAAGGUGCGCUGUGGUAUUACGCACGCUGAAUUUACAUCUUCAACCGAAAAAUUCUUGAUCAUUCCAAAAACCCUUUGUAGAGCUUCUACAGGCCAUUCUUAUAUCUUGGAUUUGAAAAUAGAUUCUGUAUUAGGUAGUUCUUACGGUUACAGUUUCUAAUAAGCAAUUAAUUAACCAUGUAUUGAGGAUCAUUAUUAUGGAUUCUGGAUCAAGUAUGAGUUUCCUUAUAGAUACAAUUUCUUGUAGUAUAGAAAUUUGUCCAGAAAAUUUAUGUUGAAUUCAUUUAUUUAUAUUACUAACCAUUAAAAAUUCCAAGAUAUUGGGCAGGAAUCUUCUCGAAGGAAAGAAGAAAAUUCUUUGGAACACUGUUAUUAAGUCUCUCAUUGAUUGGUCAGGAAGAAAUAAGAAAAAUUGUAAAAUUCACUGGAACAAUGUUAUUAGGCGUCUUCCAUUGAAAACUUAACGUCAAAGAAAACUGAUAAAUUUUCCGAUAGUUUUAAUCAUAUUUGUAUUUUUUGGAAAAGGGGGCAUGCCACAAAAUGGAGCUCGCUUUGUAAAGCCUUUUGUAAUGAGAAUUUGGUGCCAAUUGGAGUGUUUCUUCCUCAUCCUGUGUUUUGUAUUUCGUUUUUCGAUGAGUGGAUCCAUUUCUGAAACCGAAGGAAAGGAAGCCGGAACCAGCUACAAAAUGAAGGAUAUGUUCAGCGAAGGUUCCAAUUUAAAUCAUCUAGAGAUUGUAUCUGGAUUGGUGUUGGCUUUAAAUUGUUAUUUUGCUUUCUCAUUAGAAUUUGUUAUUAGUUCUAAGAUUCUCGGUUAGACCUGACUAGUGAUCUUUAUCUUUAAAUAACCAGAUGAGAAACGUUUCUUUGGCCACGAUCCAAAAGUUUCUCAUCGACUAUUCUCGAAUUGGAUGAAGGUGGGGAAUGUAUUCGAACAGUUGGGUGUGUGGUGGAUCCUUAUGCUGUCUAGAUUUGCAGAAGGAAAACCAAAAACAAGAA